GUGCUCACUUCAGCAGCACAUAUACUAAAAUCGGAACAAUAUAGAGGUUAGCAUUGCCCCUGCGCAAGGAUAACACACACAUUUGUGAAGUGUUCCAUAUUAAA